CUCGGCUCCGGGGAGGCGGUGCGGGAGGGCGCUGGCCGCGUCCGCCCGCCGAGAGCCUCGGGUCGCGCAGCCUUCCUGAUGUGUCACCAGCACGUGGAGCCAGUUCUAUGGGUUGCUGGCUAUUUUAGGGACUUCAAGUUCAAGUGGAGCCUCCUCUGCACCCCCCUGGUAAGCCCUGCUGGCUCUUCAGCACCCUAAAGAAGAGGCACACCUCAGUCACUGUGUGCCCAGCACAGGCCAGGAAAGUUCAGACAGACUAGUAUAUUUGGUGAUGGCUUCUGCUGCCAAAGCCAAGCUGAGAAGGGCCGCCUUCACAUACCUAGUGUAUGAUAGGGGAUCCUCUGACAGUGGUCAAGGGCAGUCCUUCUGACCCUGCCUGUUUUUCAGUGCCUGGACUAAGUACUGCUGAAUCGAGAUCAUAAGACAGCCCAAAGCAGGGAUGCUAGAACAUGGUGUCCCUGAGAGCCUGUUGCCAUCGCAGAUUCCAGGGUCUCAAGGGUGCUGAAUCAUUGUUGUUAAUAAGGACAUGUGGUAGUCACUCAGGUGGUCCCAGGACUGUGCUCUGGUGUGUGGACCAGUAGAUAAAGGAGAGUGUGACACACACAGUGUGAUGUGUGUUGGAACAGUGAAGCAGGGAAAAAGGAAGGGCUGUAGCUCAGAUCAGGGCUGGAGUUAAGGAAGGUCACCCAGAAAAGGUGGGUGGAGUUUUGAAGCCCAAUGCAGGGAAUGGGGUAAUGGCGGUUGGUCUAGAUUGGCUGUUUGGGACCAGACCAAGGACAUUUCUAAGGCCCUUACACCGAUGAACUCAGUCCUCCCCCUGAGAAAACAGCCAGACCCUAAACCACCAGGCACAAUAGUGAACUCUUUUGCCCAGGCUUGUGUGGCUAGUAAGUGGCAAGGGGGGCCUAGUCCUCUUUCCAUGUGGCACUGCGUGGGGCAAGAAAAUGCCAGGCAGCAGGGUGGCUCUGGGUGAGUGGCUGUAAGAGCUUGGGGGACAGAGCUUCUCAGCAGGCAAAGCAUCCAGAUGACUCAGAUCCUAGUGUGUGGGGACCUCGUGGGCUCUGUUUGCUGGUGGAGUGCAUGGCUCUGAUCCUGGUUAAGGCAGAAUGCUCCAGGUGAGGUGACAGGUUCUAUAGGGCAGGCUGAGAGUGCAAGGCCUCAGCCAGGCAGUGGGGAACCAGGCACUCACUAGUUUGAGGAGGGAGGGCCCGUGAGGCACACUGCAACCCUCAGCCUCUCCUCAGAGGCCCACAGUUUCCUCUCCAUGGUCCAGCCCUGCCCUCGGCAUUGAGAAAAACUUUUGGGAACCACCAAGUGUUUUGCACAUGUUCUUUCCUUCAGUGCUCACAUUGCCCUACAGUGCAUUAUUCCUCUUUAUAGAUGUGAAAGCUGUGGCCUGGAUGCAAAGCAGUUUACCCGAUUGCACAGUGAGUGAGCCAACAGUGGCCCAGCCCUGAGUGUUGUCCAUGGAGAUGUGUUUUUCACCACCACAGGCCCUGUGUGUUCCAAGAGCCCGAGUGUCCUGCAUAGACAGCAGGACCCCUGGCCAGGACCCCAUGGAAUGGGCGCAGCGCCAGGCUGUGCAGGGCAGGUUUCCGGCACCUUGCUGGGGCCUCAACUGCAGUGGUGUGGCUUUAGUGGGCAAGUCCCCUGUGAAAGGCUGGAAUCUGUGGAGAGUGGCUGGCUGGGGCCUCCUGUCUGCCCUGGUGCUGCUGGGAGUUGACCCUCUGCUGUUCUGGAGGCUCCCCCACACCUGGGCAGGAGUGUAUCCUGUUAAGGAGGACCUUAAACAAAAACCCUGAUUCUGGAAGCUUUAAAAAAAUUUUUUUUAUCUCCCCAUAAGAGAAAAAAUUGGUCACUGGCCUCUUCCCUUUCAUCUUCUUGGUGGCUUUUUGGCCAUUGCCAUCCUCAUUUCUUCGAGCCUGUACUUUCAGCAAAGCCUGUCAACUUGUUGAUUUGAACCUGGAAACUAUCUGGUACAUUCCAGAAAUCUUCAAACCUGUCUUGUUGCACAUUGUGGACUGCUUUGGUAGAAAGGCUUGGGGUGGAGUUGAUUUCCUACUCAGGCCACCUGAAGAACCUCUUGCCUGUCUGUGAAAGGUGGGAUGGGGUACAGUAGAGAACCAGGAGGGCUGGCCUGGGGUCCAAGUACAAGCAGGAGCCUCCUGGGCCGGGCUGUGUCUCAUGAGUCAGAGCCGCCUGUCUCCCUCCAGGAAUGGAGGACCAGUGACCAUAAGUCUUUCAGAAACAGUCCCUUUGGGUUCUGUGACAGGGCUGAAGUUCUCUCUUCUCAUCUUUGUUUUUCCUUGAAAUGAGAGAGAGGGUGAUGGGAACUUAGCUCCUCCAAGGACCUGAGUAACCCAAGCUGUGACUGCUGGCAAAAAGUGGGACCAGAGUCAGGUGCCUGUUCUCUGGGAACCUCACACCUGUAUAUUAUUCUGCCAGAGGGGCUGGGGACAGCAGAAACCAUACCUAGACUGGCCUUCUUUCUCCUCCUGAGGUGUGCCUGGCCCCUUUUGUCCUCAUGCUGCAUCAGGCCUGAGACCCUCACUUGUCCUCCAUGGCCCAUCUGUGAAGGCCAGGACCACAUCGUGACCUUUCUCCAUCCUCUGGUUUUAGUCCUUGGCUUCCUGUGGGCAGAAGGCAUUGGGCUCUGAGUGGACUCUGAGUGGAACAAAGGCUGAUUAUUCCUGGGUAUGCUAAGAAUCGUGCUGCUAUGGGGACUUUGCAGCCAGGCCACCGUCACAGAGCUUCCUGGGGGUGGGGUGGGCCAGAGUCGGGUAAGGGGACACCAUCUCCACCUGGGCGUGUCUGGGCCAGUGGAUGACUGCCAACUCACCUGGAGAUUGUUCAAGGACAGCAAGAAAAAUGAGGGACUUUCAGGGGCAGCUGUGUUUUCUGACUCAGUCAUAAUGCCCCUAAAAAUCCUUAUUGUUCUUGCAGUGUGCAUCGGGCAGCUGCAGUAGCCACCAACCUAUCCCUAGUCCCUCUGAGACAAAAGGGGCUUCCUGGGGUCAGGUUGCAAAGCACCCCCCCCCCCAAUGAGACUGAAAGGGGACUUGCUGAUCACAAACAGUUGGUUUGCUGGCAUGGUAAUUUGUUGUAUACCUUUUUGCAGCUUCUUGUGGUGGAGGAUGUGGCGGGGUCAUGAGUCUGGGAGGGCUGGGCAUCAGGGCGUUCCUGUGGAGGGUGGAGCUCAGAAGAGCAUGGGGGCCUCUCUGUUUCUUGUACAGAAAAGGUUGGUAAGAUCCCAGCUGCCUAGGCAGUGCCCAGGAAGGUCAUAGUUAGGCCAGGCGGAUUAAGGCAACUGUGGUGGGCUGGACGGGAUGCCCUCCCCGCUUUCCUGAAAAGUCAGGGCAGGACGGGAGAAGGCACCUGGCAGGAACUUGCAUUGUUUUUUAAAAUAGAAGGGGCCUCCAAGUCUACUCUUUGAGACCCAGUGACCUAGCUGUUUUAAAAACAGGGUGGCAGUAAUUCAGGGUCUUUCCCCUCUCUGCGGUGAGCCUGGAGCUUCCUUUUUCUUGGCAGGAUGUUCUCUAUCCGCCUUUUUACUUCAUGGGUUCCUUCCAUUCUCAACAGGUGGUGCCACCUUUUCCAGCCCCACCCCACAGAUAUUCUGAUUGAGCCAAUGCCUUAUCUUGGGAGGACUCCUCUGGGCCUAUCAAGAGGCAGAAAUAAUCUUUUAAAAUGGGAAGCCCUUUGUGGGAUACCCCUCUUACCACCACCGGGCCACAAAGAUGUCACCAAAUCUCAAAGCAACAGAAUCCUGUGGCUUGCCCACAGGUGGACAGACAGGUAUACAGAGCAGCAAGCAGCACUGGGCUUGCUCUCUGGGUCCACCCUGUGUCCGCAGAAGAGAUUCAUCCUGGGAACAAUUCUGAGUCCUCCCUCCCCCAGCAGCCCACUAAAAGUUCCCCUUACCUUCGGAGAUGGUCUCCCGGGGCUGGGUGGGCAUUUGAAGGACCUUGAGCUCCAGACUUUCCUGCUAGCCUAGCCCUAGCUCAGGUCCUGUCCUGUCCUAUUACUGUGCUGACCACCAACUCUGCCAGGGGCUGGGUUUGUUUAGGACCCUCAAUUGCCUCCUGAUCAGGAGAAGGUCCAUAUCCAAGGUGAAGUUUAAACAUGGAUGGUACUUAGCUCCCUGUGGUAAAAUAUGGGUGAAGCUCUCAGGAAGCAAGAAUCUCAUACCUCCAGUGGGCAAGGGUGGUACAACCAUCCCUUCCACCCUGAGCAACUUUGCUAGCAUUGCCAACUUCAAAUCAGCCAUCCUGUCCUCUUAGGCCCCUCUGCCCUGCCCUUCUGUCCCCCUAUACUUUCUCAUUCCUGUAUGUGUUCCUCAUUCUUUAUCCCAAAACAUUUGCAAAAGACAAUACCUCUGUUUUGUCUUAAGGCGAUACAUUAGAAGUAAAACCAAUUGCUGUUUUUUUCCCAAUUACAAAAUUAUCUUUGUUUGAAAAAUUGAAUUGCUUUCAAAUGCUGUUCACCAAAAGGAUGAAAAAGGUAUAUAAAUGCCCAUACCUAGAGAUAAUGUCUGCUGAUGAAAUAUGUCUGUUCUGCAUGCAUCCCCCAUCCAGGUAGCAGAUUGGGACUUUUACAAGAGGCAGGCCCCUAAUGCACAUGAGCCAUGGCUCCGUGCCCAUGGGAGACUAGUUUCUUUUUACCAAUUUGAGGAUGCUGUGGCCACUUCCAGCCUCCAGCCAGGAAGAUGUUGCUGGAGGGAGUUUGAGCAGCACUGGGUCUCCCUGAACCAGGAUUGGUGGAAAUGUCAGUGAGGACUGGAGAAGUGCAGGUCAUGUCCUGACAGCUGGCCAGGUGGGCUUCUGAAGUGCUUCUCGACCCCCAUUGCACACCAGAAUCACCUGUGCAGUGUUAAAGAAAAGCCAGUGCCUGGGCCCUGCCCAGGCCCAACUGGGUCUGAAUUGCCAGGGUAGGGGUAUCGAGAGGACCCCAGGGUGGGUAUCUUGAUUUAUCUUGGGUUUUAAUUUUUGUUAUCCUCCUUAGGUGAUUCUCUGAAGCAGUCAGGGGAGAACCUUUGGGCUGCCUGCCCACAGGUAGUGAUGAAAGAUUCCCUCUAGUUCUGCCUGCAGAGCCCCAUUGAGGAUGUGACCAUUUAGAGUUGGCAGGAUUUUACUUCCAUUAUUCCACUGCCCAGUCAUCUUUGAUUUACAGAGAACAGGCUAAGGAGACUGGGGUGGGGGGUAUUCACAGACAUAGAGCUGGGAUAUGGCAGAGCUAAGAUUCAAAUCUGCAGCUCUGACCCCCAAGAUCAGUGAUGCUUCAAUAGUAAUAGACCUGUUCAUAAUUAGCACAUUGUAAGAAACCUAUUACAGGGCUGGGGAUUUAGCUCAGUGGUUUCGCCACCUGCUGUGCAAGCACAAGUACCUGAGUUCGAUCCCUGGUACAAAAAAAACCCAAACCUGUUACAGGGCUGAAUAAUAAGCAGUACUUGGUCAUCCCAGCCCUGAGGUGUGUGGGUGGGGGCUCCCACCUCUGGAGGAGAUGUCUGCCCCCAGCAGUGUGGGCCAUCUUGUAGUCUCCCCAUGUUAAAUAACCCCCGCCAGCCUGGAUCCACAGCCGCCCACUCGCCUGUGAUGCUAUCAAGAUGUACCCCAUUUUACAGAUGAGGAAUGGGCUCAACACUCAAGAGGCCUGGCCCAUAUCACCUGGCUGCUGGGUAGCAGUAGCAAGAUGUCUGUCUGCCACUUUCCUGCUCCGAGGUGGCUGAGAAGGAGCACAGCUCUGUGUGGGGCUUGCUUGUCAGUGUCCUAGGGGUCAGAAGCCCUGCUGGGGAUGCCCAAGUCUCCACUAGAUUCUCCCCCUCCCUCCUCCUCCCAAGAAGUGCCCAGGCUGGCUGGGCUGGCUGCCAGUGCAGGGAGCCAAAGGUGCGUGCAUUGUCAGCUCCAGAAAGUGAUCAGCUGUGCCCCAGCAGGUCUGCAGAGCUGGGGGGCCAGGCUUAGAUGUGGCAGGCAGGGGAAGAUGGGAGCCAAGAGUGAGAACACCCCUUUCCUGCAGCCCCAGGGCUCUGGGCCAGGCUUCCUUUUGAAGGAAGGGCCUUAAGUCCUUGGCUAUUCCUCCCUUGCUUGGUGUGGGCCUGCAUCCUCCUCAAGCUGGCUGCCACUCUUCUCCACCCAGACCAUUGCAGUGGAGUGUGCACUCUUGGAAGUGACAUCUGUGAAACCUGCUUUCCAGAAAGCAGGAUGGUUGUGCAGGCAGAUGCAGCCAGCAUUUCAGUGGGAAAUGGGGCAUGAGUGUGUGCUGAAGCCUUUCUUGCCCAUACUCCCUGGGGACUCACUUUGGGAGGUCACUGUCAGCGGUUGUGGCUUACCUGGGUCAGAAGACCCCAGCUCACUGGGCAUGGUGGCACACUCCUGUAAUUCUACACUCUGGGAGACUGAGGCAGGAGGAUCACAAGUUGGAGCCCAGACUGGGUGACUUAGCCAGACCUUGUCUCCAAAAAAAAAGGAUGGGCAUGGGAGAGCUAUGGAUCCUGCUCAGAGUGAAGGUCCUGGGUUCAGUUCCCAGUACUGGGGGGAAAAUGAGUGAAUGAAAGGAAAGAAAACAGACCACAACUUGGAGCAACCUAGCUGCUAGACACGGCUUAGACAAGAGCCUUGAGCACGGGGGUUGGGUGGUACAAGCCCUGGGCACGGAGUCUGGUCACAUGCAGUCACUUAGCUGAGGACUGGGGGGCAGGCCUGCAUGUUUGAUGGGCUGCAGCAUUCCCUGUAGGAAUGUGUGCUUUCUAGCUCAUUCUGCAUACAGAUAUGAAGCUGUUCCUCCAUUUCCCUUCCCUUCCAGGAGUGCACUUGUGCACAGAAGGCUGCUGCCGGGCCUGGGAAGAUACUCAGUGAAUGGCAGUGUUGACACACUGCCCAGGAGGUCAAGCUUGGCUCUCGACAUGGGGAUGGUGCCUUCUGCCCUUGGUUCUACAAGGAUGACUUUUCCUGACAGUCUUCUCUGGCCUCCCAUCUGGCCAACUCCUGUUGGGAUGGUGGUUCUGAAUUGAAGAGCCUGCAAUCCUUGCCUCUUUUCCAGAAUUUCCCUGUGCUCCAGGCCCCUAAAGCCCAUGGCCAAGGGGUGGGGUUUUUCUAUAAGCCCAGACCCGGUAGCUCCAAGGCUCCUGCCAGGCCUGGGCCACAGUAACUCCUGCAGAGUGCCUCCCUCCCCUGCCAGCUACCUUGGGGUGGACACCCAGCGCUGGCAGGAAGGGCAUUCCAUUUGGCUCAACCCAUGAGGAAUCAAUUAGUGCUUGCUUUCUUUUGACUCUCCUAUCUAACACCAGAGCCUGUGACAUCACAGAAUAGCAGCCUUGGGCUUGAGUGAGGUGGGAUCCAUCCCUGGUGACAUGACUCUUGCAAAGUCUGGGUGUGGGAAAUGUGAUGGCCCAUUUUCCUGAUGAUACCUCUUUCUCCUACGCUGAAUCCCUGGGUUCAGGUGGGGCCAACUCCACCCACUGGCUUUAGAAGCAGACAUCUGAUCCGAGCCUGCACACAGGCUCCUGCAACUCCCCCAGCGACUUCUGCAACAAACAUGGGGAAAGAGCUUUCUCUUUCUGUGGGAGUUGCUAAGUCCACAGGAUAUAAGCUUGGAGCUGCUGAUGGCCAAUCUGUUAUCUAUUUGAGGAUGAAGCCAAUAAAGAGGAAGGAGAACUAAGAUGGAUAGAGUGUGCUGUCCAGACUUGCCACUUCCUGCCCAGUAAAUUCCCGAAUCCAACUCUGCCCCUGGACUACCCUGAUUAUAUGAGCCAGUGCUUUUUAAAUUAUUUUCUUUCUUUUAAAACCAGACUGAGGUGCGUUUCUAUCAUAGAAAGGUUUCGAAUACAGUAAGUGUUUUUAUGUGGUCUUUUUUUUUUUUUAAAUCAGCUUUAUUGAGAUGUACUUCUCAUGCAAUCCACCCCUUUUAAGCAUACACAUCCUAAGUUUUAUCAAAUCCACACACCUUUGCAACCACCACAAUCAGAGGUGGAAUAUUUCUUUUUCUUCCCAAAAAAGUUCCAGCUCUCCCUUGAUGGUCCGUCCCUUCAGCCUCAGACAACCACUGAUCUGCUUUCUAGAGAUUGCUUUUGCCUCUUCUAGAAUUUCCUGUAAAGAUGAUCACAUGGUGAGCACUCUGUGUUUGGUUUCUUUUUCUCAGCAUGUUUUCGAGACUCAUCCUUGUUACAUGCAUCAGUAGACCAUUCCUUUUGUUGCUGGGGAAGAUUGCAUCGUGUGGAUGUGCAUCCGUUUGUUCAGCCACUUACCAGAUGAUGCAUAUUUGAGCUGUUUCUAGAUUUUGGCUGUUAUAAAUAAAGUUGUUUCGGACAUUGAUUUAUCAAUCUUUGGUUGUAUGUUUUGAUUUUUAUACAUCAGGCUAGUUUUCCAGUUGAGGCAACGAGUUCAGACAGGUAGGUUGACUUGUACAGCGCCCUAUGGCUGAUACUCCCAAAGCUGGCGCCGUGACGGGGAGGGAGCAGAAGGGAGGGAAUGAGGUGUUCCUUAACGAGGCUCAGGGCUGCUUGGGAAAGGAGCUGUUGGACACCUGGUGCCCAAUACCAUUGUUGCUGGGAGGAACUGUCAAGAUGAGCUGCAGCCUUGGUCCUCACCUCUCUAGACCAGUAUUACAGUGUAUUUGUUUUUCCCCAGGGAUUCCAAAGUUUGAAAGAUAAAGUGUAAAUAGGCUGCAUUCAUGAAGCCAGAAUCUAUUUCCCCAGCAUAUUCAAGAUGUAUCCAGAAUUGUCCAUCAGAGCUCACUGUGAGCUGCGAGCCAAAAGACUUGAGGCCAAGUCAUUCCAGAAAAAAACAAAGAAACCUUUUUUUUGGUGUGUGUGUAUGGGGGCGGGGAACCAGCACAUCACUGACUCUUCCCAGAAGUCUAGAGGACGUCAGGUUGGUUCUCCUGCUCAGUCCCUUGCUCAGAUGGUCCAGCCGGAUCUCCGGCAUGUUCUGUCUGCCUGGGUCAACCCUUGGAGGUCAUGGAGUGUGUGUGAUACCCAGUCCGUGAACCCAUUGAGUCAACUCCCUAAGGACAGAGGUAUCUGUGGACCUUCUGGUUUUGUGAGCCAAUAUUUUCUUUCUUUGAGCCAGAGAGACCUGGUACCACAGCUUUGUUGUGACAUCACCCUUCCAUACCCCUAAGUAACUCCAUGCAAAAUCAGCUGGUGACCAGCCCACUUUCCCUCCUGGGGCCAGAUACUGUACUACAUGCUUUAUGUGUAUUUUCUCAAAUCCUCUCAGCAACCCUAGAGAUAAUGUAUUCCCAGUUUACUCUAAGGGAAACUGAGGCACAGACACGUCACAGAGCUGGCAUGCAGGUGUGUCACAUACUUAUAUUUGGUGUGCCUCCUUGGAGCCUUUCAGCUCCCCCAUCCACCAGACUCUUGGGUACUUCCUGUGCUCUGGCCGAGGACUCCAAGGGGUCCCUGCUGCUUUUUCAGAGUCUCAAUCCCCACUAGCCAUCAGUGCAGAGUAUGGGAUUGGCUCUCAAAUAACUGCCAAAGGGGCUGGAGAAGGCAACCAGCUGUGUGGGGAACUUCAUUCUCUCGGGUGAAUUUUGAGCAGGGAGCUGGGAAGGUAAAUUCCUGUCCCUCUUCCUAGGUGUGGUUCUGUGUCACCUUGCAGAGCUUCCCGUCCUUCACCUCCUCACCUCUGUUCCCUUACCCUUGCCAAAGCCUCUGUUUUUAGGCAGUCUAACUCCAGAUCUGCACUAUAGUGCUUUAGCAAUCACUGAACCAGAGGAUGGAUGUGUAGGAAUGCAAAUAAAUGAAUGACCCUCUGAGUCACGUGCUGUUGAAAUGGGGAUGGAGAAGUUAAGGGGAGACAAAAGAUGGUACCAAGUUCAUCAGCCAUUAUUUACUUUUACCCCUCCCCCUCCAUUCAUGAGGUCUAGUCAAUCAAGUGUUCUCUGACCUUCCACUAACUCCUGUCUGGUACAAUGGAAUCGAUACUCCCCAAUGCUCCACACAUGAAGCAUGUGACACUGGCAAGAUAGCCUCUGUGAGCUGGUUUCCCCACCUGUAAACUGGGGAUAAAGAUGGUUUCACCACAUAGGAGUACUGGGAGGCUUAACUUAGUUUUGAGCAUAGCACAUGGACGAAGGGGGUGGUGUUGAGGCUGCCUGUCCAUCAUCACUUUUUCCAAAGACAGCCUGUUCUCUUGGAAGUCAUAAUUCUAAUCUUAGUCGCACUGGGUAGCUGGUGCUGUUCCCUCGUCCCAUCCUCAGGUCACCAUCAGAUCCAGGCUAACACCACACCCUGUGUUCUGACCACAAGAAUUGCCAGCAAUCUGGCCAUGGGACCUAAGUCCAUCCAGCUGUUGGAACAGUACCCCAAGGUUUUGCUGGAAUAAUCAGGAUGGAGGUGCUUGCUCUUUGCUGCGAUCAUGAGCUUGGAGCUACCAGGGGCCAGUUUUACUAUUUGGCCAUUUGAGAAUGAAGUCAGAACAAAGUGGAGCCAAAGAAUUGAGCAGGAUAACGGAGCCCCGAUGACGUCUUUGUACUGUAGUUCCUGGAUCCAGCUAUGCCAGAACCCAAUUAGCCCCUGUUAUAUUUAGGAGUGAAUACAUCCCUUAGCAUUUCCCUUUUUAUUGACUUACACCAGUUCAAGAUGAGUUCCUGUUAUUUAAAAUUGAAGUGGUCCUAAGAUAGUAGAGUCUUUAUAAACAAUUGCUGCUAUUCUUGCAAUUCAUUGUAGACACAUUACGGGUAGAUGUCUACAUGGAAAUGUACAGGCCAGGUUCCCCAGAGGCUGCUCUGCUCCUCAUAUGUGAGACCCUGGAUGAAGGUGGGAGGAAUGAGUAUUCGUCCAUAUGCUCCUGAUACAUUGCAGGUGUCUGGCAUCUGGCAUAUGGCAGGUGAGUAAUAACCAUAUGUUGAAUGAACAAACGAAGUAGGCUUGUUGUCCACUGUCUCCUCCAGUGUGUCCUGCUUUCCAUGGAGGGGGACAGACUUUGUGUUCUGUCUCUUUGCCCUGUUAGUCCUUGACUGACUUCUGAGCCUACUAGAGUGGCUGCUCUAGUAGUCUGUCUUGGCAAAUUGAUGUCCUGUUUUUAUAAUUUCAAAAAUUUCCUAGAAACUUUUCUUUCUAGAACCUCAUUUUUUCCUAUUCCCAUUCAUUUAUUCAAUUUUGUCUUUUUUAAUGUGUGUGUUGUGUGAGGUACCAGGGAGAGAAGCAGAAGGAGACAGAGCUUUGCCUGGCUUCAGGGAGCUUCUGUUUCAGUGGCAUUCAGUAUUCUGACAGUUGGUUCAGUGGGGUUAUUUUAGGCAUUUGGAUAAUUCUCCAGUAUCCUUUUACAGACCAAACAAACUCUAUAAGGAGUGUGUCUUGGUCUUAAGCUAAGCUGGAAUGAAUGCAGUGGGUGGGGGGCCCUGGGCUCACUGUCUGGCAAGCUUUGUACCCAGCUUUCUGAACCAAGCUCAUGCCAGCCGGAACCACUGACUUAUCUCACUGGUGGAGGCUCAGAGAAGUAGUUUCCCCGAGCAGAAAGGGGAUCUGAAUCUGCCUUUGUGCUGUAGCAGGGAGCCCUGGAGGGUCCCCAGAAUGUAUGACACCUGAGUGGACAGUGGAUAAUUAUCUGUAGUCUCCCCCUAGAACUGUGUGAAUAUCCUUGUGGCUCUUCCCGCAUUCUCUCUGGGAUAACAGUGACUCGUUUCCUUGUCCACAUCUGUCAUCUUGAUUGAAGCAGAGCUUCCUGUUGCAGUCAUCUCACAUUUUCUACACCCUGCACUUUGUACCAGGCACUGGCCCCUGGGAAUCUCAGUGCCAUAAGCAUGUGCUGGUUUUGUUCCUCAGCAUCCAUUCUCUCUUUCUUCCAACAGUAGCUCCCCUCUUCCUUGAAGGAUUGCUUUAUCAUUCUAUUUGGUCCUGGAGGGUUUUUUUUUUUUUUGGUUUUUGUUGUUUAUUGCAUGCUAAGUAAGCACUCUACCAUAGAGCUACAUUCCUAGCCCUUUUUAUUUUGAGAACACUGUCUUGCUAAGUUGCCCAGGGAGGUCUCAAACUUCUGAUACUCAGACAUAGACCUCCCCUGUAGCUGGGAUUACAGGUGAGUGCCACCACUCUCGGCUUGACAACCAAGUGGUCACAUGAUUCUAGUGAAGCCAAUCAUAGUUUGGCACACUCUGGGUUGGUCGGAGGGUUGGACAUGUGAGCUCUUCCCUGGAACAUUCUGAAUCUCCCCCACGGAUCAUGUGUUAGCUGAGUAUCUAACUCCAGAGCUGCCAGAGGCUUUGGGCAGGAGCCUGAGAGGAUGAAGUCCUCAAUCUGUCUGCUCAGGUCAGCCCCUCUGCCUUUCUGCCUUGCACAGGGCAGUAGAUUUUCACCCCCUUUUAACCUUUUAAGUAGUAUCAGAAUAAAGCAGGAAUAGGUUAACAAAUCAAAUGGAACAAAAGAACUUAUAAAGGAUAUCACCAGACUCUUCACUUAUUCUUCCUUCUUCCCCCCUACUUUACUCCCAAGGCAAAUUAUCUUACAUAUUUCCUUUUGUGGUUUUAUUCUUCUGAUAGAU
ensembl:lncRNA